rnacentral:rRNA from 1 species
UACGAAGGGGGCUAGCGUUGUUCGGAUUUACUGGGCGUAAAGCGCACGUAGGCGGAUCGUUAAGUCGGGGGUGAAAUCCUGGAGCUCAACUCCAGAACUGCCUUCGAUACUGGCGAUCUUGAGUCCGGAAGAGGUGAGUGGAACUCCUAGUGUAGAGGUGGAAUUCGUAGAUAUUAGGAAGAACACCAGUGGCGAAGGCGGCUCAGCUGGUCCGGUACUCGACGCUGAGGUGCGAAGACGUGGGGAGCAAACAGG